CAGGGCUGAAGCUGAGUGCUGAUCAGCUGGCCCUGGUCUAUGGCACGCUGGGGCUCUGCCUGUGUGCCGUUGUCUGCUGCUUCCUAGUGGCGGUGGCCUGCUUCCUCAAGAAGGGGAUCCCUGCUCCUGCCAGCCUCACACAAGGCCCUGUCAAAGUCUGGCCAAGUCUUCCCAGGUGAUACAGAGCUGCCCCCCGUCAGUGUUCUGGAGGUGAAGGUAAGAGCCUGUGCCUGCUGCAUGGGAGGCUGGUCCAGGGACAGGGAAUUGGGCAGGUGAGGCAGUGGGGGUGGUCCACGGGCCUGGGUGGUGGUGGGCCACAGCUAUCCUGGGAGGGGCAGCCAUUCCUGCUGGACUCUGUCCUCUGAGGGUUUCACCAAAACCCAAACUAAGAACUGCUGGUCCAGAGGUCACUGCCUGUUUGCACCAAGUCCCGAGCCGAAGCCUGGGACUGACCAAAACUCAAGGCGUUUGUGUCCUGAAGAUGGUAUGUCCUGGCAUCACCAGUCCAGACUGCCAGCUCUGGUUAGUUCAGAGGGUCUCAGCCCCUGGGGUCUGCCCUUUCCUGGCUCCUUCCCGUUGGAUCCCUUCAGGGCCCUGAAGCCCAGGACCCAGCAUCCACAGGCCACUACCAGAAGCCUGACAGCUCCGCUAACUCCAUCAUGGCCCAUUUCACAGCAAAGAUGUCAGAAACUAAAACUAAGAAGUGGCUGAAGAUGCUCAGAGACUGGCCAAAAUACAGAACAAGCGAGAAGCUUACUCACAGAGUGUACAAAGGCAUUACCCCGGUGGUGUGGGGCUGGGCGUGGUCACUCCUGCUAAACAUUGACAAAGUGAAGGCUGAGAACCAAGGGAAAUACAAGGUCAUGAAGGAGAAGGGCAAGAGUUCCUCCAGGAUCAUCCGCCGCAUCAAGCUAGAUGUCAAGCACACCCUCCAGAACCAUGAGAUGUUCAUAGAAGGACUAUAGGGGCUUCAGCAGGAAUUAUGUGAUAUUCUCAUGGCCUACUCUGCAUAUAACCCUGAGAUGUGCUACCACAGGGACCUCAGGUGCAUCACUGCAAUCCUCCUCCUGUGCCUGCCAGAGGAAGAUGCUUUCUAGCCACUGGAAUGGGCUCUGACAGGGUGAUGGGUCGGUGGCUUUUCAGUAUUCUACAGCCCAAAUACAGCCCCACUGCAGAGGCUCUUAUCGCACCAGGAGCAGGUGUUGCACAAGUCUUUCCCGAAAAUUAUGAGACACCUGGGCAAGGAAGGGCUGUGCAUUGAGGGUUCCAUGCUGACGAGGCUCCUCCAGUGUUUCAUUGAUGGGAAACUCUUCAGGCUCACCCUGCGACUGUGGAUGUGCUCAUCUUGGAGGGCAAGCCGGUACUGAUGGCCAUGGCACAUGCAUCAUUCAAAAUACACAGGAAGCACCUCAUGAAGCUUUCCUGGAACAUCAUCCCGGAGUUUCAGGAGAGGCUCUCUCAGAGCUCGGCCCUGGAGGACAAUGCCAUCCUCAGGAACCUUCAAGCCUCCAUGAAGGAACUCACAAGGACACACUGGGACCUGCCACCCCCAGAACUCGAGUGAGGAUCCUCGAGGGUGUCCCCUGGCAUUGGGCCCCUCUGUGAGGGGGAUAGUCUGGCCCUCCUCACCCCACCAACUCAGCUCCAGGGACUCAUGCCAUCAGCCUCCAUGUGACAAAAGCCUUGACCUCCCCCAGCCUCACCUGAUGGGGCUGCCCCAAGGUUGAGGCCAAGGCCCCUUAGCACAAAGGGGCUUCCCCAGAACCCAGGGCCAGGCUGCUCUCUGGGUGGCCCAGAGGAUCAAGAUGCAGCAAGCUUGUUUCCUGGUGAGGUCAGAACUUGUAUUACACGAAAAUACCUGUGCUGGAACUCUAUGCCACGCCUCCACACAGACCUGGGUGCUGGCGGUCCAUGGUUUCCCUACUACAAUUUUGAACAGGGCUACUGGGCCCCUGUCGCUUCAACCUCUUACCUGGACAGCCCUGGAACCACAGGACAGGCCUGGCCCAGCAAGCCCACUGGGACCCUGACACCAGGCCCUGCCUGGGCUUAUGACAGAGGAGACAGCUCAAGAGACACCCCAGCAAGAAGGUGGAGCCUAUCAGCAAUGCCCCUCGGUAGAAGAACAGGGCAUGGAAGGACCCCAGGUGGCACCUGCGCAGCUGCCUCGCAGCCCCACAUGACUGCUGGACCUUGGUUCUGGACCAUUCAGUUGGGGACUUGGUCCCAUCAAGGCCUCUAGAGGGAAGGCUGAAGGACAGCCAGGAGCAUGCCCUGAGACCUCUGACCUCACCUGUGUGUGAAUCCCAGGUCCAGAGGGGCCUGGCUUCAACCCGAGUCCUAGGAGGAGAAGGGCACCAGAGGCACCACGGGCCCCCACGGUAAACACACAGGGGACCAGGGCACUGCAAGCCCUGAUGCUGUAAGGAUUCACAUCAGAGAACCAGAGCAAGCCAGGAGACUGUGCAGUAACGGGGAUGUGGAGGGCUGGCUCAAGGGGGUUAACAGCUGUGAACACUGCAGCCUCUUCCCAGCCUUUUCACUGCAGUGCAGGCAGUCUGAUCCCUGGAGCCCAGCCCAAAAGCACCCUGAGUGCCCUGGCUUGAUAUGCCAACAUGCCACCUGGAGGCUUUGAGACCCCGUCUGCUGCAUAUCCACCUCACCACUGCUGAUUGCCCCAUCUGCUGAGAGACUUGGUAUGGAUUCCUGGGCUGGCACCAUUUCCCAGGAGGACCAGCUGGCUGCCUGUGGGCAGGACACUGUGGAGGGGGCUGAGAUUGGCCUUCACUGCAGGAAGCCCCUACCUGGACAUAGACUUGCCGGCCCUACCUGUCACCAUCACAGCAGCCUACAUGGCAUUGCUGCCGACCAGGGAGCCCCAUCCAGGCCAGUCUGCCCUGGCUGCUGUUUUCCCUCCUGUCACCCUCUGUUUGACUGCUUGUGUCAAUAAAAGAACUGGCCAGUUUCAGAAGAAAAUGUGUCUUUAUUAUGAUAUAGGGGAGACUACAAAGCAUUAGGGGAUGAGGAGGAGGAGUCACACAUCUCGUAAUGAGAGGGGAAAGGAAAGGGUAAACAUCUUGGUAAAUAAAGUCUCCAACUACA